rnacentral:rRNA from 1 species
CGUACACUCCUGCGGGAGGCAGCAGUGGGGAAUAUUGGACAAUGGGCGCAAGCCUGAUCCAGCCAUGCCGCGUGAGUGAUGAAGGCCCUAGGGUUGUAAAGCUCUUUCACCGGUGAAGAUAAUGACGGUAACCGGAGAAGAAGCCCCGGCUAACUUCGCGCCAGCAGCCGCGGUAAUACGAAGGGGGCUAGCGUUGUUCGGAUUUACUGGGCGUAAAGCGCACGUAGGCGGACUAUUAAGUCAGGGGUGAAAUCCCGGGGCUCAACCCCGGAACUGCCUUUGAUACUGGUAGUCUUGAGUUCGAGAGAGGUGAGUGGAAUUCCGAGUGUAGAGGUGAAAUUCGUAGAUAUUCGGAGGAACACCAGUGGCGAAGGCGGCUCACUGGCUCGAUACUGACGCUGAGGUGCGAAAGCGUGGGGAGCAAACAGGAUUAGAAACCCGUGUAGUCCCAUG